GACGAACGCUGGCGGCGCGCUUAACACAUGCAAGUCGAACGGAAAGGCCUGCUUUCCCUUGUGGAUUGCGGGUACUCGAGUGGCGAACGGGUGAGUAACACGUGAGUGAUCUGCCCCCAACUUGGGUAUAAGCCUGGGAAACUGGGUCUAAUUCCCGAUAGGACUGCAGGGUGGUGCCUGUGGUGGAAAACGAUUUUCUAGUGGUUGGGGAUGAGCUCGCGGCCUAUCAGCUUGUUGGUGGGGUAAUGGCCUACCAAGGCGGCGACGGGUAGCCGGCCUGAGAGGGUGGACGGCCACAUUGGGACUGAGAUACGGCCCAGACUCCUACGGGAGGCAGCAGUGGGGAAUAUGGCACAAUGGGCGGAAGCCUGAUGCAGCGACGCCGCGUGGGGGAUGACGGCCUUCGGGUGGUAAACUCCUUUCGACCGCGAGGAAGCCACCUGGUUGGAAGGGUGGUGACGGUAGUGGGAGAAGAAGCACCGGCUAACUACGUG
rnacentral:rRNA from 1 species